AGUGAACGCUGGCGGUAGGCCUAACACAUGCAAGUCGAACGGCAGCACAGUAAUAGCUUGCUCUUACGGGUGGCGAGUGGCGGACGUGUGAGGAAUACAUCGGAAUCUACUUUUUCGUGGGGGAUAACGUAGGGAAACUUACUCUAAUACCGCAUACGACCUACGGGUGAAAGCAGGGGAUCUUCGGACCUUGCGCGAUUGAAUGAGCCGAUGUCGGAUUAGCUAGUUGGCGGGGUAAAGGCCCACCCAGGCGACGAUCCGUAGCUGGUCUGAGAGGAUGGUCAGCCACACUGGAACUGAGACACGGUCCAGACUCCUACGGGAGGCAGCAGUGGGGAAUAUUGGACAAUGGGCGCAAGCAUGAUCCAGCCAUACCGCGUGGGUGGAGAAGGCCUUGGGGUUGUAAAGACCUUUUGUUGGGAAAGAAAAGCAGCAGGUUAAUACCCCGCUGUUCUGACGGUACCCAAAGAAUAAGCACCGGCUAACUUCGUG
rnacentral:rRNA from 1 species